GCAGAACUUUGUAAUGUGAAGCAAGAGAGUUCAGACUGUGGGAGACAUUCAGGGAUUCUGUGCUGAACAUUUGAAGGAAGAGUGGUUUCCUUCCUACCUGUUCCAAUCAGUUGUGCAAUAAGGGGCCAGGGUGGGAAGAAAAGUGCUCAGGUCUCCUUUCUGUGCUUCCUUGGUGUUUGUUUACCUUCCUAAGUUCAUUACAUGAUCUACUGGGCAGGAGGGCUGGGAGCUGAUAUACAUUUUCUUGCUCAGGAAAUUGGACUGCUCAUGGCUGUGCAUUCCAUAUAAAACAGAAAAGAAUCAGAUGAAAUAGAAUCAUCAGCUUUUAACAAAUCUCAUGCUACUUUUUUUUUUUUCCACAGAAGAUAGUAGAGGUAUUUAUUGUAACAGCCAUUCAAGUGCUGCAGAUACCUUCAUGGAAUAGAAAGGCAUUUUUUAGCCAGUCUGAGUUAAAACAUAUUAAAACGUUACUGAAAACAGUCAGUUGUAUUUUAACAUGCAUCAUCUAGUUGAGCUUAAUAAUGGACUUAUUGGACUUAUUCCCAGGAGUCCUUUAGAUAGAUAUCUCUAUAUACGACACUAUGAUGGUGGUUCUCUUAUGGAGUAUACAAUAUAUGUCUUUAUGUUCGGAUCAAGCUAUUCUGGUCAGGUCCUGUGAAGUAUGAUUAUAAUCUCAAGGGCAGAUAGUUUAGGAAGUCACACUUUUUUUUUUUACUUUUUUUUUUUUUUUUUUGUAAUUGUUUGGUGUUUUUUUUCUCCCAAUUUUUGAAAGAGCUGGAGAUAAUGGAAUGCUGAGGGUCAGAGUAUAUAGAGAAAGUUUCAGGUCAGUGGUUUCCAUGAGAGACUUACACAGUUUGCUAGUAGCAGCCUCAAGAUACAGAAUCAUUAGUAAAUCCUUUCUGUCAUUAUUUCAGCUUGCUUCUGUUUUUUGUUGUUUGUUGUUUUUUUUUUUUUUUCCCCAACGUUCAGCAGCAUUCAGGGCAGCUAGGAUGUGUCAGUAUUGGGAGGCAAGGAUGAUGAUGGCCAAUGGAAACGUUCUUCCUCUUAUGCAUGCUCACCGUGCAGCAUUUGCAGGUGGGCCGUCUGGAAUCACAGCCAUGACUCUGCCUGGUGUUAUUUCCUCAUUUGUUGUUUUCUCCAUCUGCUCAUUUAUUUUCCUGGUUAUGGUCUUCUCUCUGUCUCCAUCUCCCCCUGCUCAUUUGUAGGCAGUCAACCUACAGAAGAGCAUCUGCUGGACCCUGAGUGGGGAACAGACAGGCGGAACCCUUGCAAAUGUAAAAGCCAGGAGUGGGUCAGACCCCAGAUGAAUGAGGUGGAUGCAAAGGAGACUUAGAUAACUCGAAGCAGAGAAUGCUACACAGGUGUCUCUGGAUGAAGGCCAGUCACUGUGGUGAACUUGCCUCUCCUGUCAUGGUUCCAGAGGUCUGGCCAGGAGGCUGAGCCACAUGCCAAGCUGGUGAUAACUACAGGUA